rnacentral:rRNA from 1 species
UACAGAGGGUGCAAGCGUUAAUCGGAAUUACUGGGCGUAAAGCGUGCGUAGACGGUCAUGUAAGUCGGGUGUGAAAGCCCCGGGCUCAACCUGGGAAUUGCAUUCGAGACUGCAUGGCUAGGAUGCGGAAGAGGGAAGCGGAAUUUCCGGUGUAGCGGUGAAAUGCGUAGAUAUCGGAAGGAACACCAGUGGCGAAGGCGGCUUUCUGGACCGACACUGACGCUGAUGCGCGAAAGCUAGGGGAGCAAACGGG